UGCAGGUCGGGUUGAAGAAUGAAGACUGACUAAGCUGAUUUGAUGGUUGCUGCAGUAGCACUUGGGAUAACAAAAACAGAGGUUUGUCACAGACUGUCUCUCCAACCUCAAAACUUGAAUGGAGGAAGCAUUGCAUUUCCAGUGGUUCUUA